UCCCGUUAGCUCAGUUGGUAGAGCAUCAGAUUUUUAAUCUGAGGGCCAUGGGUUCGAUUCCCAUAUCGGGCU
rnacentral:tRNA from 1 species